CUCUUCGUACAGGAUUUCUGCAUGAGGCAAAGCCUGAUAUUGGUGAUGAAUGGCUACGGAGGGCUACAAGGACAGAGCUGUGCCUGACCCCUGACUGGUACAGGUUCCAGUGCAGCGUUACAGGAUCCUCAGCACAAGGAUUUUCCGGCAGCGAGGCGAGACAAGUUGGGCGAAUUCCAAGGGAUGCUCGUCAUUCGCUGUGUCAGACCUGACAAGGUAAUGCCAACGGUGCAGAAAUUCAUCAUUCACCACCUGGGCUAUCAGUUUGUGGAGAACCGGUGUUUAUUCUUUUCCCAGGAGCCGACCCUAUGGUAGCACUCGUUAAGUUUGCUGACGAUCAGGAGCUUAACCCAGAGGCAGCACAUCGGGAUUUCAGAAUCUGGCUCACCAGCUACCCGUCUGCCACAUUUCCGGCAUCCGUUCUUCAGAACGGAGUGAAGAUGACAAACGAAGCGCCGAAGGGAUUACGGGCAAACAGACUUCAUUCACAUCUCAUGGAUCACGUACCUGGCCCUAAUUUUUAAAACAGCUGUAAAAAACCGGAGGUGCCAUACAAUGCUUUUUGCUACACGACCAGGGAAGGUAAGUAUGUCGGCAGAGUCACUGACAACUGGGAUCGCUGCGUACUACUUAGCGUUUUGAAGACAUUUUUCUUAGCGGAAGUCAUUACAAGUAGAGAUGACGAAUGUGAUUCGAGCGGCCUUUGCUGUGUUCUUCCUGAAGGUGACAUCUGGAGUAAACUCCCCUGGGACUUUGACAACUGGAGGAGAAGACAAUGAACCACUUAAAGUGACAGUAUGAAUCACAGAAUGGUGGAAUCAUAGAGUCCCAAUGUUGGAAACAAUGUACAAGAUGAUCCAGUACAACUGUCUGUCACCAUAAGCACUCAACCAUAUCAUGCAGCAUGUUGACCAUCUGUCCCAUUAAGUGAGUCUGGGAAU